GGAGAGUAAGCGAAUGGCCAGCAGGCCGACUGCUAAUCGGCCAAGACGGGGCGACCUGUCGUCCGGGUUCAAAUCCCGGGCUCUCCG
rnacentral:tRNA from 2 species